GUGAACGCUGGCGGUAGGCCUAACACCUGCAAGUCGAACGGCAGCACAGUAAGAGCUUGCUCUUACGGGUGGCGAGUGGCGGACGGGUGAGGAAUACAUCGGAAUCUACUUUUUCGUGGGGGAUAACGUAGGGAAACUUACGCUAAUACCGCAUACGACCUACGGGUGAAAGCAGGGGAUCUUCGGACCUUGCGCGAUUGAAUGAGCCGAUGUCGGAUUAGCUAGUUGGCGGGGUAAAGGCCCACCAAGGCGACGAUCCGUAGCUGGUCUGAGAGGAUGAUCAGCCACACUGGAACUGAGACACGGUCCAGACUCCUACGGGAGGCAGCAGUGGGGAAUAUUGGACAAUGGGCGCAAGCCUGAUCCAGCCAUACCGCGUGGGUGAAGAAGGCCUUCGGGUUGUAAAGCCCUUUUGUUGGGAAAGAAAAGCAGCGGGUUAAUACCCCGCUGUUCUGACGGUACCCAAAGAAUAAGCACCGGCUAACUUCGUG
rnacentral:rRNA from 1 species